rnacentral:rRNA from 1 species
AUUGAACGCUAGCGGGAUGCCUUACACAUGCAAGUCGAACGGAGUGGCGAACGGGUGAGUAAUGUAUCGGAACGUACCCCGUCGCGGGGGAUAACGACGCGAAAGCGUAGCUAAUACCGCAUACUAUUGGAGUGGCCGAUACCGGAUUAGCUAGGUGGUGGGGUAACGGCUUACCAAGGCGACGAUCCGUAGCUGGUUUGAGAGGACGACCAGCCAACCUGGGACUGAGACACGGCCCAGACUCCUACGGGAGGCAGCAGUGGGGAAUUUUGGACAAUGGGGGAAACCCGGAUCCAGCCAUCCCGCGUGUGCGAGGAAGUCCUUCGGGUUGUAAAGCACGUUUGGCAGGAAAGCGGUACCUGCAGAAUAAGCACCGGCUAACUCCGUGCCAGCAGCCGCGGUAAUUC